GCAGCAGGCACGCCAAAUUACCCACUCCCGGCACGGGGAGGUAGUGACAAAAAAUAACGAUACGGGACUCAUAUGAGGCCCCGUAAUCGGAAUGAGUACACUUUAAAUCCUUUAACAAGGAUCCAUUGGAGGGCAAGUCUGGUGCCAGCAGCCGCGGUAAUUCCAGCUCCAAUAGCGUAUAUUAAAGUUGUUGCGGUUAAAAAGCUCGUAGUUGGUUCUGCGUGCUACGCUGUCGGUUCGCCGCCUGCCGGUGUAACUGGCAUGCCGUGGCAUGUCCUGUCGGUGGCGUUCGGGUGCCUUGUCUAGGUGAGACCUCCGAACCGUAAGGGACGGGUGGUUAUUCAACCGGAGGUUUCCCCGUUCGCCUACUCUAUCCUACCUAGGUGCUCUUCACCGAGUGUCGAGGUAGGCCGACACGUUUACUUUGAACAAAUUAGAGUGCUCAAAGCAGGCUGAAAUUUCUGCCUGAAUAGUGGUGCAUGGAAUAAUAAAACAGGACCUCGGUUCUAUUUUGUUGGUUCUUAGGAACACGAGGUAAUGAUCAAUACGGACAGGCGGGGGCAUUCGUAUUGCGACGUUAGACUUGGCAAAUGCUUUCGCGGUGAAAUUCUUGGAUCGUCGCAAGACGCACAAGAGCGAAAGCAUUUGCCAAGUAUGUCUUGAUUGAUCAAGAACGAAAGUUAGAGGUUCGAAGGCGAUCAGAUACCGCCCUAGUUCUAACCAUAAACGAUGCCAGCCAGCGAAUCCGUCGAUGUUCCUCCGAUGACUCGACGGGGAGCUUUUUCCCGGGAAACCAAAGCUUUUGGGUUCCGGGGGAAGUAUGGUUGCAAAGCUGAAACUUAAAGGAAUUGACGGAAGGGCACCACCAGGAGUGGAGCCUGCGGCUUAAUUUGACUCAACACGGGAAACCUCACCAGGCCAGGACAUUGGAAGGAUUGACAGAUUGAUAGCUCUUUCUUGAUUCAGUGGGUAGUGGUGCAUGGCCGUUCUUAGUUGGUGGAUCGAUUUGUCUGGUUAAUUCCGAUAACGAACGAGACUCUAGCUUAUUAACUAGGCGUUUUCCGGUGCCCUCGUCACCGGCGACACUCAUUCUUCUUAAGGGGACAAGCGGCUUAUAGCCGCACGAGAUUGAGCAAUAACAGGUCUGUGAUGCCCUUAGAUGUCCUGGGCCGCACGCGCGCUACACUGAAAGAAUCAGCGUGUGCCUCCCUGGCCGAAAGGCCCGGGUAAUCCGCUGAACCUCUUGCGUGCUAGGAAUUGGGGCUUGCAAUUGUUCCCCAUGAACGAGGAAUUCCCAGUAAGCGCGAGUCAUAAGCUCGCGUUGAUUACGUCCCUGCCCUUUGUACACACCGCCCGUCGCUACUACCGAUUGAAUGAUUUAGUGAGGUCUUCGGACUGGCAGUAAUCCCUACCGACUCGUCGAUAUCGAUGAAUGCUGGAAAGAUGACCAAACUUGAUCAUUUAGAGGAAGUAAAAGUCGUAACAAGGUUUCCG
rnacentral:rRNA from 1 species